GACGAACGCUGGCGGCGUGCCUAAAACAUGCAAGUCGAACGAGGUAGCAAUACCUAGUGGCGAACGGCGGAGUAAUACAUGAGGAACGUGCCCUGAAGACUGGGAUAGUCAUUGGAAACGAUGGGGUAAUACCAGAUGUGACAGUCGCUUGGCAUCAAGCAGCUAUUAAAUGGUUUUUCGCUUCAGGAGCGCCUCAUGGCCUAUCAGGUAGUUGGNGGGGUAAUGGCCUACCAAGCCGACGACGGGUAGCGGGUCUGAGAGGAUGAUCCGCUCGAGUGGGACUGAGACACGGCCCACACACCUACGGGUGGCAGCAGUUGGGAAUCUUGCACAAUGGGGGAAACCCUGAUGCAGCGACGCCGCGUGGAGGAUGAAGGAUCUAGGUUCGUAAAACUCCUUUUAUUGGGAAAGACUUAGGACGGUACCCAAUAGAAUAAGGACCGGCU
rnacentral:rRNA from 1 species